rnacentral:rRNA from 1 species
AGCAGCCGCGGUAAUUCCAGCUCCAAUAGCGUAUAUUAAAGUUGUUGCAGUUAAAAAGCUCGUAGUUGAAUUUCGAGAUCAAAUUGUUGGUCGUGCCUUGGUACGUACUGACAUUAUUGGUUUCUCCCUUCUGAAGAACCAUGAUGUCAUUAAUUUGGUGUCAUGGGGAAUCAGGACUGUUACUUUGAAAAAAUUAGAGUGUUUAAAGCAGGCUCGCGCUUGAAUACAUUAGCAUGGAAUAAUGAAAUAGGACGUUUAAUUCUAUUUUGUUGGUUUCUAGGAUUAACGUAAUGAUUAAUAGGGAUAGUUGGGGGCAUUAGUAUUCAAUUGUCAGAGGUGAAAUUCUUGGAUUUAUUGAAGACUAACUACUGCGAAAGCAUUUGCCAAGGAUGUUUUCAUUAAUCAAGAACGAAAGUUAGGGGAUCGAAGACGAUCAGAUACCGUCGUAGUCUUAACCAUAAACUAUGCCGACUAGGGAUCGGAUGAUGUUAAUUUUUAAUGACUCAUUCGGCGCCUUAAC